GUGCUUGCUUCGACAACACGUAUACUAAAAUUGGAACAAUACAGAGAAGAUUAGCAUGUCCCCUGUGUAAAGAUGACAUGCAAAUAUGUGAAGCCUUCCAUAUUAUA